AGUACUAUUAGAACUUCUAUACUGAAUCAGCGGCACUUAUUUAGGACGAAGGAAGUAUUUUAUUAUAACUUUAUAUCAAAUCGGCAACAUUUAUUUUGGGACGAAGGAGUAUUUUAUUUCUACAGGCACAUAAUCCUUCUCCUAUGCAAUCAUCACCUCUAGGUUCUAGUACAUUCCACUCAGUAUCUAGUUUUUCUAUUCUUUUUGUUUGUUUGUUCGUUAAUGAAUCUUGUAUUGUACUCUACUACUCUUGUUCAAAAAUAAUACGUAUUAGUCAAAUCCACGAGAGGGCACAAUGGACAGGAGGAUAUGUAAUGACUACUGUUUGCAAAGCCUAGUUUGCAAACAAAUUAAAAUGUUGCCAUAUCAUCCUGACUUAUUGCUGCACAAUUCACUUUAUUUCCUAUCCCCGGGAAAAAAAAUCAACCAGCCUUCUACCACUUUCCAUUACUUUGACAUAACGAUAGUACAUCAGUCCGAGGAACAGCAACCGAAAGGAAACAUGAAAGGGAAUAAGCGAGUCCAAAGCAUCGAAGGAAAACCCACCAUGAGGGCCGUCAUCGAGCAACUCACCGUGGGGCGAAAACUCAACGACACCUUCUCACUACCAAAGCUAGUCUAAAGCAAGGGCAAGUCUAAGAGGAGACCACUCCAAAAGUAAUCAGACUCACAUGAGGCAAAGGUAAGCUCACGCAGGAGCAGCACUAUCAAAGCACUAAUGCAAAAAUAGAUCAGUCGACCUUCAUCAAAUCGGAUGCCGCACAGAUCCUCAUCAAGUUUGUUGCAGCGGUCUUUAGCAUCUUAGUCCCAGGUUCCAUGGUCUCCCGGUCCUCUUCAGCGAACAAACCUGCCCAAUACAAAGAAAACCACACGCAGAGAACACCACAUAAAAACCAGUCAUCCAUUUUUUGUUCUCAAAGGUGGCUCUGUUAUGACUAUUCCAUAUGGUCCAGCACAUCGCUGCAAGCCAAACGUAUAGAAUGUCACACCAUCAGGUAAGAAAACAUAACACCAUGAAAAAUAUUGCCAAAUCCGUCCCAAGAACACAUGUCACUAUCCUCCACACAACUCUAGCAACUAGACAGGUAAAGAAAAGGUGUUCAGAGGUUUCCCUGUCAGCACAGAAAGAGCAUUUAGGAGCUCCCUAAAAUAGCGUCCCUUGGGGACGAACCAACGCUAAAAUCGUCUUGGGCCCCGGGGGGGGGGGGGGGUCUCGUCUUUCCUGUCGCCCCUCCAGACACAUUUUUCAAAUUUAUUUUAGAUCAAAUUCAAAGAAAUUGACUCGAUUUUGUACGAAAUUUAUUUGAUUUCAUUUAAAUUUGUUGGCGGCUGGAAGUGAUGGUUGUUGGUGCCCCUCGUUUAUAACAAGGUUGCCGCCACGGCUGCGACGGCACUCCGACGUCUCUUGGGGCUCGGCCUUCACGGUGGCGAGCUGCGGCGGUGUGCCGGAGGAGCAGGAGGAGGACGACCCCGCCAUUCGCGUCGGCAGCCACGAGCUCCCGCUCGGGCGUGAGAGCGACGACGUUGGUACUCCAGCGGCAGCUCGUUGCAGCCCUCCAUGUGCUCGAGGACGUCGUGGACAGUGCGCCCGGAGACUCUCGGCUUUCCAGUCGCCCCUCCAGACGCAUUUUUCAAAUUUAUUUUGGAUCAAAUUCAAAGAAAUUGACUCGAUUUUGGAUGAAAUUUAUUUGAUUUCAUUUAAAUUUGUUGGCGGCGGGAAGUGAUGGUUGGUGGCGGCCCUUGUUUAUAACGAGGUUGCCGUCACGGCUGCGAUGGCGCUCCGACGUCUCUUGGGGCUCGGCCUUCACGGUGGCGAGCGGCGACGGUGUGCCUGAGGAGCAGGAGGAGGACGACCCCGCCAUUCGCCUCGGCAGCCACGAGCUCCCGCUCCGGCGUGAGAGCGACGGCGCUGGGUACUCCAGCGGCGGCUCGUUGCAGCCCUCGAUGUGCUCGAGGACGGCGUGGACAGUGCGCCCGGAGACUCCCCACCAUGGACGGCUAUCGUCGGAGUUGUGGCACCCUUGGAGCCUGAAACCCGUUGGUGGAGGCGAGCUGGUCGUCGUGGCGGCGCUGGAAGUACGCCGUCUAGAGAUGGAAGUUGUUGACGGCGUACCUUUCUUCCUCUCACGCAUGCUCCAACAGGGACGCCCGGAUGCGCGCGAUCUCGCCGUGGCGAUCCGCGGCGGAUGGUGGAGGGGGCAUGGGGACGACUCCGACGCUCAGUCUCCAGGCGCCCGGCACGCGCAUGUUUGGCGGCGUCGGUUAGUUGGCCUCGUGAAGGGUGUGCGCCUCCCACUCGUUUGCGACUGGUGGCCGAAGUCGUUGACAACCACUCCGUCACCGGGGAACCGCUCCGCCAUGAACUCGGGAAAGUUUUCCGACGGUGGAGGCGAGAGAGAUGGGAGAAGAGGAUGAAGGGGCGAGUCUGCCGCGAGCGGCGGCAGCGCGCGACUUUUAUAGCGGGGAAGGGGCGGGAACGGUGUGCACACAUGGCGGGAAAAGGGCGAGACGCGCGACGACGUGUCAUCACUGCGAUGCCACACCUUGAAAUCCGACGCAUGGAACCGGCACGGGAGCCAAGGUGAUGAGUAGGGCGAAGUUCUCUACAACACUCAGUCUUGCUGAAUCGGCGGGUCCACACAAGAGAAAUUUGGCACCCAAACCAGUGAAAAACGAAGUUCUCUACAACACUCAGUCUUGCUGAAUCGGCGGGUCCACACAAGAGAAAUUUGGCACCCAAACCAGUGAAAAACGAGGUCUGGGACGUGACUAGGCGGAUUUUUUAGCGUCAACAACAAAAAAGGGGCUGGGGGGCUGUGCUGGAGAUGCCCUUAGGAUCCCAUCUUGGAAUAAUUGCCACAAGAAAAUUUGAAUUCUUAGUGAGCUUUUUGCCUGCCAAAUCCAUCUAUAAUCUCAUCCAGACAAGUUUCUUUCCAGAUGUUCACAGAUUGAUUGGGUAGUAAAUCGGUAUUUCCCAACGUCCAGAUAAUCUGGUCAGGUUCUUUAGAUAGAUUCCAGGAUCCAACCACCUUACAAAAGAGAGAUGAUGUAUGCCCAGCAAAUUACACAACGUAAUACGGGAUGUAAAUAUGUUAACCAGGCAGCUGGAAUCGCAGAGUCAUAGGAUCAUUCCAGAUAACACAAUUUACUACAAACAAGUGCUAUUCCUCCUAACAUAACAUAACUUAUAAUAUGUGUGGGAUGCAGUCUGAGCUCUGAAAUCUGACAGAUAUAAUGAAUAAAAUACAUGUGAGAUUCCCGUGUUCCUAUCCUGCCUCGCCGCGCCGCCCGUAAAUGACAAGAAAAGAACAGGCAAAAAAUUAACCAUCCUCUAUUCGAAAAUCUUCUCACCAGUUGAGAAGACCAAGAAAAUGACUGAACUAAAAAUACAGAGGUAUGCUGGAACAAAGAAGACUGUUUUCCAGGUUUCCGAGUUGGUUAGAUCCAUGUUAGAAGCCUUUGCAGCCUCCAGAAUAUUUCCCGUGAGGCCAACGCCAACUAUCCCGGCCAAUGUCCCAGCCGUAUUUGAAACCCCCAUCACUAUGCCGGCGAACUUUGGAGCAACAUCCAUGUGAUUCACAGCAAACCCUGCUCUUCCUAGAGCAAGAAAACCAAGGGAUACCGACGAACAGAUCACAGUCCCUGAGGGCGUCCCGAAUGAAGGAAGGGCCAUGAGUGCAACAGCUGAGACAACAAACCCAAUGGUGUUAAGGAGCUUCCUUGUCUUGGUAACUGAUAAGAUCCUUUUUGUUAUCAAGUGAUCAGCAACCACUCCACCAAUGUUGGAGAAUAUAAACAUGUUGAAAUAGGGAAGCAUCUUUGACGAUCCCAUAUCCUGGAGGCUAAGCUUAAGGGCUAGUUCGAAGUAGGUAGGCAGCCAGUUCAUGAUAACAUACAAGGCAUAGUGGAAGGUGAAGUUGUUCACGACAAUUGCCCAAACAGGUAGACUGAAGAUAAUCCUUCGCCAUGGUAUCUUUACAGUUCGAGGUGCAACAACCCCCACUGAUUGCGCCUUAAUCUUCUCCCGAGAUGCUACUUUUGGCAUUGCCACUUUUGGAAGGUCGGUGCGAGGUGGCUCACUUGAGAACUUCAACCAUAUUACAGACCAUGCCACUCCAAGUACUGCUUCAACCAAACAUACAGAUUGGGGUCCCAUGUGCUUUACAAGACUUGGAAAAAACAACAUGCCACAAGCUGCCCCAAGGUACAUCCCUGAGGUUGUUAAUGACACUGAGCGAGAGCGCUCCUGCGGUGGCACCCAUUGUGCCAGGACUGUGUGAAUGGCAGGAAAUAUGAAACCUUGUGCUACACCAACAAAAAGGCGAGAAAGGACCAGAAUGGCUGCUCUGUUGGGGUCCAGUGGAAUUAGACCGCAUAUCAAAGACCACAACAGGAAUGACAGCAGCAGAACACGUCUCCCUCCCAAUCUCUGAGCUGCCCAUCCACCAGGAAUUUGCGACAGAACAUAACCAUAAUAGAACAUGGAGAGUAUCAGGCCCUUGUUUGCUUGAUUCACAUUGAUUGCAUCAGCUGCUACGGUGUAGGCGAUCGAGAAACCCACACGCUCAAUAUAACAAACGUUUGUGCAGAUGAAUGUCAGCAAUACUAUGACAUAACGCUUUGGGAUCUUCAUUCUCGCCAUCACUAAUCAGAGACGAACCACAAAGUGUUGUAGCAGUCUUAAUCAGGGCGCCACUUGUUGACCUCCCACGAAUAUUUACCAGGGUUUACCAUAAACCUGUCUUUCUUCCUUCCAUCUCUAGGGGUACUAAGAUCUGAAACAGACAAAAUAUUGAUCAUUCACUGGUAUGAAACAAUAUGGGCUUCUUCAGCUGCGCUCCAUAUAUCCAUAGCAGUUUACUGAUCUCAUAAGCAAUUUAACAGAGACAAAUCACUAUACGGUGCACAUUAACUCGAGGGACCUGCUCAAUGGAGACGGAAAAACCAACAUCGCUCAGUCAGAUCAUAGAUGAAUCAAGGCAUGAAUAUUACAGUUACCAUUAUGCAAUUUGAGAAAAAGAUUCAGAAUCCUAAACUAUCAUCAACUAUUCUUUAAGUGUAAACUGCAAUUAGCAGGACACAUGGUUUACACCUGUCACAACCUUUACAUUCCAAGAGAAAGAAAGAAAGAAAGCAUUCCAACACAGUCAGAACUUUGAAGGAAACAUGCUAAUCUAGAUGAUUGAACAGGCCCAUCGAGACCUAGUAUAUUUUACACGGACUGAACUUGAUCUUACACAUAUCCUUGUACCAAAUCGUAAUGCGGAGUGUUCUCCUCAGGCACGACAUAACCAAGCUUGGACGCACAACUGAACUGCAAGCAAGAACAAACUAAACCGCCGGUCCCAAUAAAUGAAACCAAGUACCCGUGCGGUCCACAGAGGAACACGCAAUGCCGACACAUUUGCACUGAUGAAAGAGAUUUGAGGAAGCAGGAUCAGAUCUCAAUCAGAAAAAAAAAUCCAGCUUUCGCACAGAUCAGAUGUGAACUCGCGAGAUCUUCACUGAAAACCUGCGGCAUUCGCCACCAACCACCAGAGCCGGACCAGAUCGCGCGGAGAUCUGAUCCCCGAAACGCCAAAUCCCCAGCCCCGAAACCCCCAAUGAGCACCCCUGGCACAUCAUCGGUCCUACAGACCAUCCACAAGUCCAGCAGCAGCGCAUCACAGCUAAAUACUAGUAAUACCAAUCAAAGAAAAAAGCGAUUUUCUUCACUAACCUACUGUGAUUCAGCCGAGAUGCGAGGUGGUCGGGGAGGCAGAGGAGGCCACACAGCGUCCGGUGGUCGGGGAGCGCGGCGGAGGAGUGGAGGCUGGUGAAAGGCGAUUCAAGGCGGGCCGCGGCGGUGGGGGAGGGAGGGCUGCCGCCGGCGGAGGAGCUGCGGCGCGCCGUCUCCGAUGGAUCUGGA
rnacentral:lncRNA from 1 species